rnacentral:rRNA from 1 species
CACGUAGGGGGCAAGCGUUGUCCGGAUUUAUUGGGCGUAAAGAGCUCGUAGGUGGUUCGGUAAGUCGGGUGUGAAACCUCCAGGCUCAACCUGGAGACGCCACCCGAUACUGCUGUGACUGGAGUCCGGUAGGGGAGCGUGGAAUUCUUGGUGUAGCGGUGAAAUGCGCAGAUAUCAGGAGGAACACCAGCGGCGAAGGCGGCGCUCUGGGCCGGUACUGACACUGAGGAGCGAAAGCGUGGGUAGCAAACAGG